rnacentral:lncRNA from 1 species
UUUUUUUUUUUUUUGCUAUGCCCCCAUCCCCUCCGAGAGAAAUAUUAAGUUGUAAAAACGAUUCAUCGCCUGUUACCGGUCCUGCAUCUUUCCCCCUGCCCUCUUAAACCACCGCUCUCCCUAAAAACCGAGAGAUAAAACCCGACCCAGACAAGUCUUCAGAGCAGGUAUUUCACUCAAAUAGUUCACGGCAGUAAAAGCGAUUCUUUAAACCGGUAUCCACCCCCAGGGCUCCCAGUUUGAGCACCACACGUGGGUGUUCGUUUUCAGGGUGACUGCCGAGGGUUAAAUUGACAGUCCUUUCCAGCCUCUGAUUUGCAGGUAAAUACCUACUUAUACAAAUUAUAAGGAAAAUAUUGUCUAUAAUAAUAUAUAAUAUGAUGUAUAUUAUAUAUUAUGUAUAUUAUAUAGUAAAUCUUAUGUAUAAUCUAUUAUCUAUUAUACAUAGUAAUAUGUAGCAUAUUAGACAUAUAAAAUAUAUAUAAGAACACUGACAAAAUAAAUCCUGAGGUCCUCAUCUGCCCCCCUCUUUCUACAUCCAACCGCAGGAUAAACCCCGAGUCUCUGUGGAAUGGCUCCAGUUCAGCCCCGGGGAUCCGGCUCCCGAAGAAGCAGCUCUUCUUCAGGACCAUCCAUUACAAACCGAAAUAAAAUCGAUUUGGGAAUGGAGGGGAAUGGCGGGGGGGAGCUGGAAGAAGGUGUUUUGGGUUGAAUAUUUCCUUUUGCUAAUUUCUGAUGCUGCAACUAUAGAACUAAGGUAGAAAAUAAUCCUGUAUUGUGAAUACGAACAUCACUCCCAAUCCAUAUAUAAGAGUAUAUAUGUAAGAGUAUAUAUAUGUACACACUCGCAUCCACAUAUACAUAAGUGAAAAGUACAGUAACACAGCAAGGGGAGGAAGAAGAAGAAGAGAGUUUCCUCAUAUUGAAGUCUUACAGAAAAUUUUGUUUUAAUGGCUAAUACUUUGAAAAGAAAAAGAUUUAGUCCUAAUUCAGCUGGUAAAAGCAAAAUGAAACAGAAGUUCACAUUAACAUGACGUGAGGUUUAUUAUAGGUCUGCUUAGAAUGAAGAGGUAAGAGUGGUAAAAAUAUGGACACUUUUGAGUCAGACAGAAAUAAAAUACCCACAUUUCUGAGAAGCAAUAUUUAUUGUCUUUUUUUUUUUUUUUUAGUGUAGAGACAUGUCCUGAAUUUCCCCAAAGCCUAGAUUGGGAAAAUAAAGACUUCUUGGUGUUAUAAGUAAAUCCGUCUGCAGAAUCGAA